rnacentral:rRNA from 1 species
UGCAGUCGAGGGGCAGCGAGGGCGUAGCAAUACGCCUGUCGGCGACCGGCGCACUGGUGAGUAACACGUAUGCGACCUGCCCCCUACAGGGGUAUAACCCGUAGAAAUGCGGACUAAUCCCCCAUAGUCCUGGGUGCUGCAUGGCAUUCAGGGGAAAGGUCAGCCGGUAGGGGAUGGGCAUGCGGCGCAUUAGCUAGUUGGCGGGGCAACGGCCCACCAAGGCGACGAUGCGUAGGGGUUCUGAGAGGAAGGUCCCCCACACUGGUACUGAGACACGGACCAGACUCCUACGGGAGGCAGCAGUGAGGAAUAUUGGUCAAUGGGCGCAGGCCUGAACCAGCCAAGUCGCGUGAGGGAAGACGGUCCUACGGAUUGUAAACCUCUUUUGUCGGGGAGUAACGUGCGGGACGGGUCCCGUAUUGAGAGUACCCGAAGAAAAAGCAUCGGCUAACUCCGUGCCAGCAGCCGCGGUAAUACGGAGGAUGCGAGCGUUAUCCGGAUUUAUUGGGUUUAAAGGGUGCGCAGGCGGCGCGCCAAGUCAGCGGUCAAAGUUCCGGGCUCAACCCGGUGUCGCCGUUGAAACUGGCGUGCUCGAGUGCGUGCGAGGAAGGCGGAAUGCGUUGUGUAGCGGUGAAAUGCAUAGAUAUGACGCAGAACUCCGAUUGCGAAGGCAGCUUUCCAGCGCGCUACUGACGCUGAGGCACGAAAGCGUGGGGAUCGAACAGGAUUAGAUA